rnacentral:rRNA from 1 species
CCUACGGGAGACAGCAGUGAGGAAUAUUGGUCAAUGGACGAGAGUCUGAACCAGCCAAGUAGCGUGAAGGAUGACUGCCCUAUGGGUUGUAAACUUCUUUUAUAUGGGAAUAAAAUGUUCCACGUGUGGGAUUUUGUAUGUACCAUAUGAAUAAGGAUCGGCUAACUCCGUGCCAGCAGCCGCGGUAAUACGGAGGAUCCGAGCGUUGACCGGAUUUAUUGGGUUUAAAGGGAGCGUAGGUGGAUUGUUAAGUCAGUUGUGAAAGUUUGCGGCUCAACCGUAAAAUUGCAGUUGAAACUGGCAGUCGUGAGUACAGUAGAGGUGGGUGGAAUGCGUGGUGUAGCGGUGAAAUGCUUAGAUAUCACGAAGAACUCCGAUUGCGAAGGCAGCUCACUGGACUGCAACUGACACUGAGGCUCGAAAGUGUGGGUAUCAAACAGGAUUAGAUACCCCAGUAGUC